rnacentral:rRNA from 1 species
AUAACACCUGGAAACAGAUGCUAACGGAUAACAACACUAGACGCAUGUCUAGAGUUUGAAAGAUGGUUCUGCUAUCACUCUUGGAUGGACCUGCGGUGCAUUAGCUAGUUGGUAAGGUAACGGCUUACCAAGGCAAUGAUGCAUAGCCGAGUUGAGAGACUGAUCGGCCACAUUGGGACUGAGACACGGCCCAAACUCCUACGGGAGGCAGCAGUAGGGAAUCUUCCACAAUGGACGAAAGUCUGAUCGCGUGAGUGAAGAAGGGUUUCGGCUCGUAAAGCUCUGUUGGUAGUGAAGAAAGAUAGAGGUAGUAACUGGCCUUUAUUUGACGGUCCAUACUUAGAAAGUCACGGCUAACUACGUGCCAAAGACGCGGUAAUACGUAGGUGGCAAGCGUUGUCCGGAU